CUGCUCCGGCUCGAGCUCAGCGCCCGUGCCUGAACGUGUGAGGAUGUCCGCAGCGCCCUCAUCUGGCACGCCGGCAGUAUAGACGUAAAGCGUCUUUCACCUCACCUGCUCCAAAUGAAUCAGACAUUGGAGCGAACUUCCGGACACCUUGGGGAUCAAAUGGCAGAGGAGAGCUGGACUGAUGGAACACUCAAGUGAAGAGAGGAAAAAGACCAGAUGGGGCCAAAUUGCCUGGCAGACAUGGGCUGUCUCAUAUCAUAGCAACCCUAUUGGCCGUCUGCUUCGAGGAUGUGGCCAACAGGUCUUCAGAGAACUACAAUAAAACUGGGAUACACUGUGACAGAUCCUCUCUGGCUAAAGAAACGAUGGAGUCCGCUCGCAUGGAGAGCCUGAGGGGCAAUUUUCCCUCCCCCUUUUUUCACAUUUUCUUUUUGCUUCGUCAUAUUGCUCACACACACACACACACACACACACUCUGCUUGAGUCUGAUGAAUAAUAUGUUUUCUCCUCGCCUAAUAUGAGAGCAUGCACAGACACACUCCUUUUCCUAAUCUCCCCUGCUUUGAACGCUGACUUUAUCCUAUCUGACUGAGUGAAUCUUUAUACAGCCUCUUCACACACAGUCUAUGGGGAUGGUAAUAAGAAAGAGUUGACUUCCCUAUGAGCUUUCUACAGCAACAGGCAGAGUGAGUGGGGAAUAUGAUGCCUGUGGAUGUAAUGCUUCAAUAAGCCAAAGACAUGAAUCUGGGGAUCUGAUUCUAUGCCUCCAACAUCCUGCUUUUUCAUUUCUCUGUUCCAUUUUUCUGCUUGCAUUUUAACUGCCAAUGGUGUUCACACAUUUAUCCUUGUGAAAUGGAAUGGGAUUUUUUUUUCCUUUCUUUCUUUUUAAGAAAGGUUGAAUAAACAUUUGUUCUUUGUCAGUACCAUUUAUCUUCACACGUAUUGUGACUUAGUCCAAAGCAGUUUUCUCCUUUUGGCUGCUGUUAGAGGAGUGUAGGGGUUAAGGGCCCUUCUAAAGAGCACCUUCAAGAGAAGAUAUUUUUCACUUGUGUUAACAUGUAUGGUAUUUCAAUAACUUUCCAUAGUGAGAUUUAAACAACGGCUCUUUGAAUUUACACCAGUAAUUUACAGGCCAGUGUGUACCUGUCUUAACUACAACCCUAUGUCUCCUAGUGCUUGCUGUUUCUUACUUUUAACAAUUGACAAGUGAAAUAAAAACAUUCAGUCCAAAAAAAAAUUUUUUUUAUCCAAAAAUCCAGUUAUGACAGAGAGAAAUGGAGCCUCAGUAUAUUUGCUCAGCAUACAGUAAUAAAACACUGGAAGUUAUGCUAUCCUUGAAUCAAAAUGGAAUGAUUACCAAAGCAUCCCGUGGAAAUGAAGUCCAAAUGUCAGUGUGUGUGGUGGGGGCAUGCAGCUUUUGGAUGUGGGUAAUUCGUCUAACUAGUAACAUGUGACUGACGCGAGAUCUGAAGCUUUCCUGGGUGUCUCAUCACAUGCCAUGUACAUAAACAGUGUCAUACAUUUGACAUUUGCUUCUGUGUUUAGGAACACAAGUGGAGAACCAGAUGAGUGUGAUUUCAAUUUUAUAUGACAAUGCUGUCGUCAUCUGCUGUCUAUGUUAUGGUACUGUAGAGCCAGUGGAAAAUUUCAAUUUAGUGCUCAUUAUGUAGCAUUUCUGAUAUGUUUAAAACAUUAAAAUAGCAUUUUCAAGGAUCCAGUUUAUAUCCAGUUUAUGUUAUCCUUGUGUCAAUCAGUAUGACGUUUCCUCUUACAUUGAUACACAGUAUUUUGGCAUGAAAUACUGCAUUUAAGACCUAAAUGUACUUCAGAUAAUAUCUGCUUAUAUACCUUGGAUGUCAUAGUAUAUUCCUUCAUUAAAGUUGAAAUAUUUUGUUUUUCUUACAAUAGAUGGGGCUUUGCUUUGACAAAAAGUGUCAUAACCUAGAGGAAAAUUGUGCAUGCUUGACAUAACUGACAACAUUUUAAACA